GUGCUUUAGGGAUGAACAAAGUCCCAUAUAUUCAUUUCCAUCCUUUUCACUUUGUCAGCUCUUUCUAUUAUGUCUUGCUGAUCAUUGCUGGAUGGAAGAUUU
rfam:Cucumis sativus cultivar 9930 chromosome 6, whole genome shotgun sequence.